rnacentral:sRNA from 1 species
CAUCAUCACCAUCAUCCCUAAGUUGUCUUUCGGGAGAUGUACGCAUACCCGGGAGGCAGGACGCUCCCGGUGGUUACAUGAAAAUAUUUACAGAUUUCAGACCCUCGGGAGACCAAUCUCUCGAGGGUUUUUU